AGAGUUUGAUCAUGGCUCAGGAUGAACGCUAGCUACAGGCUUAACACAUGCAAGUCGAGGGGCAGCAUGGUCUUAGCUUGCUAAGGCCGAUGGCGACCGGCGCACGGGUGAGUAACACGUAUCCAACCUGCCGUCUACUCUUGGACAGCCUUCUGAAAGGAAGAUUAAUACAAGAUGGCAUCAUGAGUCCGCAUGUUCACAUGAUUAAAGGUAUUCCGGUAGACGAUGGGGAUGCGUUCCAUUAGAUAGUAGGCGGGGUAACGGCCCACCUAGUCUUCGAUGGAUAGGGGUUCUGAGAGGAAGGUCCCCCACAUUGGAACUGAGACACGGUCCAAACUCCUACGGGAGGCAGCAGUGAGGAAUAUUGGUCAAUGGGCGAGAGCCUGAACCAGCCAAGUAGCGUGAAGGAUGACUGCCCUAUGGAUUGUAAACUUCUUUUAUAAAGGAAUAAAGUCGGGUAUGCAUACCCGUUUGCAUGUACUUUAUGAAUAAGGAUCGGCUAACUCCGUGCCAGCAGCCGCGGUAAUACGGAGGAUCCGAGCGUUAUCCGGAUUUAUUGGGUUUAAAGGGAGCGUAGAUGGAUGUUUAAGUCAGUUGUGAAAGUUUGCGGCUCAACCGUAAAAUUGCAGUUGAUACUGGAUAUCUUGAGUGCAGUUGAGGCAGGCGGAAUUCGUGGUGUAGCGGUGAAAUGCUUAGAUAUCACGAAGAACUCCGAUUGCGAAGGCAGCCUGCUAAGCUGCAACUGACAUUGAGGCUCGAAAGUGUGGGUAUCAAACAGGAUUAGAUACCCUGGUAGUCCACACGGUAAACGAUGAAUACUCGCUGUUUGCGUUAUACAGCAAGCGGCCAAGCGAAAGCGUUAAGUAUUCCACCUGGGGAGUACGCCGGCAACGGUGAAACUCAAAGGAAUUGACGGGGGCCCGCACAAGCGGAGGAACAUGUGGUUUAAUUCGAUGAUACGCGAGGAACCUUACCCGGGCUUAAAUUGCAGAUGAAUUACGGUGAAAGCCGUAAGCCGCAAGGCAUCUGUGAAGGUGCUGCAUGGUUGUCGUCAGCUCGUGCCGUGAGGUGUCGGCUUAAGUGCCAUAACGAGCGCAACCCUUGUUGUCAGUUACUAACAGGUUCUGCUGAGGACUCUGACAAGACUGCCAUCGUAAGAUGUGAGGAAGGUGGGGAUGACGUCAAAUCAGCACGGCCCUUACGUCCGGGGCUACACACGUGUUACAAUGGGGGGUACAGAGGGCCGCUACCACGCGAGUGGAUGCCAAUCCCCAAAACCUCUCUCAGUUCGGACUGGAGUCUGCAACCCGACUCCACGAGGCUGGAUUCGCUAGUAAUCGCGCAUCAGCCACGGCGCGGUGAAUACGUUCCCGGGCCUUGUACACACCGCCCGUCAAGCCAUGGGAGCCGGGGGUACCUGAAGUGCGUAACCGCGAGGAGCGCCCUAGGGUAAAACUGGUGACUGGGGCUAAGUCGUAACAAGGUA
rnacentral:rRNA from 1 species